rnacentral:tRNA from 1 species
GUCCCCAUCGUCUAGCGGUCAGGACACCAGCCUUUCACGCUGGGAACACGGGUUCGAUCCCCGUUGGGGACGCCA